rnacentral:rRNA from 1 species
ACUCCUACGGGAGGCAGCAGUGGGGAAUCUUGCACAAUGGGGGAAACCCUGAUGCAGCGACGCCGCGUGAGCGAUGAAGCCCCUCGGGGUGUAAAGCCCUUUCGGCAGGGAAGAUUAUGACGGUACCUGCAAAAGCAGCUGCGGCUAACUACGUGCCAGCAGCCGCGGUAAUACGUAGGCAGCAAGCGUUGUUCGGAGUUACUGGGCGUAAAGGGUGCGUAGGCGGCUUUUUAAGUUUGGUGUGAAAUCUCCCGGCUCAACUGGGAGGGUGCGCCGAAUACUGAGAGGCUAGAGUGUGGGAGAGGAAAGUGGAAUUCCUGGUGUAGCGGUGAAAUGCGUAGAUAUCAGGAGGAACACCGGUGGUGUAAACGGCUUUCUGGACCAUAACUGACGCUGAGGCACGAAAGCGUGGGUAGCAAACAGGAUUAGAUACCCUGGUAGUCCACGCCCUAAACGAUGCAUAU